UACGGAGGGGGCUAGCGUUGUUCGGAAUGACUGGGCGUAAAGCGCACGUAGGCGGACCAGAAAGUUGGGGGUGAAAUCCCGGGGCUCAACCUCGGAACUGCCUUCAAAACUAUUGGUCUUGAGUUCGAGAGAGGUGAGUGGAAUUCCGAGUGUAGAGGUGAAAUUCGUAGAUAUUCGGAGGAACACCAGUGGCGAAGGCGGCUCACUGGCUCGAUACUGACGCUGAGGUGCGAAAGCGUGGGGAGCAAACAGG
rnacentral:rRNA from 1 species